GACGAACGCUGGCGGCGUGCUUAACACAUGCAAGUCGAACGGAAAGGCCUUGCUUUUGUGGGGUGCUCGAGUGGCGAAAGGGUGAGUAACACGUGAGUAACCUGCCCUUUACUUUGGGAUAACUUCAGUAAACUGGGGCUAAUACCGGAUAUGAGCUCCUUCUGCAUGGUGGGGGUUGGAAAGUUUCGGCGGUUGGGGAUGGACUCGUGGCUUAUCAGCUUGUUGGUGGGGUAGUGGCUUACCAAGGCUUUGACGGGUAGCCGGCCUGAGAGGGUGACCGGCCACAAUGGGACUGAGAUACGGCCAAGACUCCUACGGGAGGCAGCAGUGGGGAAUAUUGCAAAAUGGGCGGGAGCCUGAUGCAGCAACGCCGGGUGCGAGAUGACGGCCUUCGGGGUGUAAACCGCUUGCGACUGUGAAGAAGAGUGAGUGACGGUAAUGGGUAAAGAAGCAACGGCUAACUACGUG
rnacentral:rRNA from 1 species